UCAUGGAUAAAACACCUACAAAUCUUACUAGAAUUUGUGUAUCAGUUUGUAUACCACUAUUAUGUUAUAUUUAAUUAUUUAUUACUUAAAACUUUUUGGAAAAAA
rnacentral:rRNA from 1 species